rnacentral:rRNA from 1 species
AGUGAACGCUGGCGGUAGGCCUAACACAUGCAAGUCGAACGGCAGCACAGUAAGAGCUUGCUCUUACGGGUGGCGAGUGGCGGACGGGUGAGGAAUACAUCGGAAUCUACUUUUUCGUGGGGGAUAACGUAGGGAAACUUACGCUAAUACCGCAUACGACCUACGGGUGAAAGCAGGGGAUCUUCGGACCUUGCGCGAUUGAAUGAGCCGAUGUCGGAUUAGCUAGUUGGCGGGGUAAAGGCCCACCAAGGCGACGAUCCGUAGCUGGUCUGAGAGGAUGAUCAGCCACACUGGAACUGAUACACGGUCCAGACUCCGACGGGAGGCAGCAGUGGGGAAUAUUGGACAAUGGGCGCAAGCCUGAUCCAGCCAUACCGCGUGGGUGAAGAAGGCCUUCGGGUUGUAAAGCCCUUUUGUUGGGAAAGAAAAGCAGCAGGUUAAUACCCCGCUGUUCGGACGGUACCCAAAGAAUAAGCACCGGCUAACUUCGU